AAUCCGUGGAAACCUGCUCCACUGGCCGUCAGCAGAAACUUCCUCCGAGACCACAGCGAACACCAAUGAGGAGGGAUAGGGCGAAGAUCUCUGAGAGCAGAGAGAUGAGAAGCUGUCAGAGUUCUCACAGAGUCUCCAGCACCAGCAGACCUUCUUGUUCUCUGAUCAUUAUUCUCCAUUAUGAUGUUCUGUGGAACCUGAAGUGGGACUGAGUCAUGAGUGUCAGAGAACAUCCUGAGUGUGAGGACACCACAGCACCAUCUGUGAAGGCUUUGGGACAUGCGUUAGCUGGCCAAGCUGUUGAUUUGUACUCUGAUCGCCAGACGGAAUUCAAACCGCACAGACGUCACUGAAUUCCCCUCAAGAAAUCUUCCUCAGUUUGAAAGUCUACCUCAAGUGUUGGCGACUCGUCUCCAGGUUGAAAGAGGGAACGUCCCAUGUGCACAUGGCUCGCUCUGAUGAAAAUACAGAGAGGUUUAAAUCUUUUACAAGUGCUCAUAGGUGUGUGUUGGGGCUGUGCUGCACAUCAGUAGCUAAACAGAUGAGAGAACUGAUGCUGCACGCACACACAGGAUUUGCUGAAAUAAGAAAUGAAUUGACAAUUCGGAGCUGAUGGGAGGAGCAUGUGGAGUUCAGUUCAUGACGCCUCAAGCUGCACUGAAGUAAAAAGUAACAUGAACUGCUAUGAUAUACUUACAGUUUGAUUAACCCCCCGCCCCCACAGUUUCACCAUAUUUACAAAGCAAUAAUUAAAUAAAACUACUUAAGAUAUUGAUCAGUGUGUUAUAUAAUGUCAACACCAGAUUAAUUUAGUAGUAGCUUUCAGAAACAUAUUGUGCAGAGUGUUAAUCAUUUUUGUGGGUUUGCAAUUUAUAUAGUAUUACCAGCUGGUUUAGUGCUUGUCUUGCUUGCUGUCAGCCUCAUAACAGACCUGCUUUUUGCAGAUUGUCAACUACAGUUUUAAAUUAGUGUUACUGUAAUAAUUUAAAUUUAGUGAGUCAAGUUUAUUCAUAUACUUUUUAUAAAUGAAGUACACAUAAAUUAAAGGUUUAAGUUUUUCUAUACAAAAACUCCAUCAAGUGGUUUGGAAAGGAAAUAAUAGUGAAUAAAUAGAAUUAAUCUUUUAGGUCUUCAGCUCUGCCAUCUCCAGCUCCAGCGCUUGUCCUUUUCUCAAUAUCUUUUAAUAAUAUUCUUUCCAUUUCCACCAUCCUGUAAAUAUUGUUUUUAUUCUUCAAGCUACAGCAUCUUGAACUUUUCCACAUUUUGGUCAAGUUACAAUCACAAGUCUCAAUGUAUUUCAUUGAGAGUUUUAAGUGAUAAACCAACUUAGUGCAUGGCUGUUAAAAAGCACAAUUUACAAAUAAAAAUAUGAGAAGUGUGGUGUACAUGCGCAUUUAACCCCCUUUUACUCUCAGACUCCUAAAUAAAGAGUGUAAGAUUUUUGAAAA